rnacentral:rRNA from 1 species
GACGAACGCUGGCGGCGUGCUUAACACAUGCAAGUCGAGCGGUAAGGCCCUUUCGGGGGUACACGAGCGGCGAACGGGUGAGUAACACGUGGGUGACCUGCCCUCAGCUCUGGGAUAAGCCCGGGAAAUUGGGUCUAAUACUGGAUAUGACUCCAUGACGCAUGUUGUGGGGUGGAAAGCCUUGUGCGGCUGAGGAUGGGCCCGCGGCCUAUCAGCUUGUUGGCGGGGAACGGCCCACCAAGGCUAUGACGGGUAGCUGGUCUGAGAGGACGACCAGUCACACUGGAACUGAGACACGGUCCAGACACCUACGGGUGGCAGCAGUCGAGAAUUUUUCUCAAUGGGGGAAACCCUGAAGGAGCGACGCCGCGUGGA